GAUGAACGCUGGCGGCGUGCCUAAUACAUGCAAGUCGAGCGAACAGACGAGGAGCUUGCUCCUCUGACGUUAGCGGCGGACGGGUGAGUAACACGUGGAUAACCUACCUAUAAGACUGGGAUAACUUCGGGAAACCGGAGCUAAUACCGGAUAAUAUAUUGAACCGCAUGGUUCAAUAGUGAAAGACGGUUUUGCUGUCACUUAUAGAUGGAUCCGCGCCGCAUUAGCUAGUUGGUAAGGUAACGGCUUACCAAGGCAACGAUGCGUAGCCGACCUGAGAGGGUGAUUGGCCACCACGGAACUGAGACACGGUCCAGACUCCUAAGGGAGGCAGCCGUAGGGAAUCUUCCGGAAUGGGCGAAAGCCUGACGGAGCAACGCCGCGUGAGUGAUGAAGGUCUUCGGAUCGUAAAACUCUGUUAUUAGGGAAGAACAAAUGUGUAAGUAACUAUGCACGUCUUGACGGUACCUAAUCAGAAAGCCACGGCUAACUACGUG
rnacentral:rRNA from 1 species